rnacentral:rRNA from 1 species
CUCAGAGCUGGCGAGACUACCCGCUGAAUU